UUAAGCGACUAAGCGUACACGGUGGAUGCCUAGGCAGUCAGAGGCGAUGAAGGGCGUGCUAAUCUGCGAAAAGCGUCGGUAAGGUGAUAUGAACCGUUAUAACCGACGAUACCCGAAUGGGGAAACCCAGUGCAAUUCGUUGCACUAUUGCAUGGUGAAUACAUAGCCAUGCAAGGCGAACCGGGGGAACUGAAACAUCUAAGUACCCCGAGGAAAAGAAAUCAACCGAGAUUCCCCCAGUAGCGGCGAGCGAACGGGGAGGAGCCCAGAACCUGAAUCAGCGUAUGUGUUAGUGGAAGCGUCUGGAAAGUCGCACGGUACAGGGUGAUAGUCCCGUACACAAAAAUGCAUAUGUUGUGAGUUCGAUGAGUAGGGCGGGACACGUGACAUCCUGUCUGAAUAUGGGGGGACCAUCCUCCAAGGCUAAAUACUCCUGACUGACCGAUAGUGAACCAGUACCGUGAGGGAAAGGCGAAAAGAACCCCGGCGAGGGGAGUGAAAUAGAACCUGAAACCGUGUACGUACAAGCAGUGGGAGCACCUUCGUGGUGUGACUGCGUACCUUUUGUAUAAUGGGUCAGCGACUUAUAUUUUGUAGCAAGGUUAACCGAAUAGGGGAGCCGUAGGGAAACCGAGUCUUAACUGGGCGAAUAGUUGCAAGGUAUAGACCCGAAACCCGGUGAUCUAGCCAUGGGCAGGUUGAAGGUUGGGUAACACUAACUGGAGGACCGAACCGACUAAUGUUGAAAAAUUAGCGGAUGACUUGUGGCUGGGGGUGAAAGGCCAAUCAAACCGGGAGAUAGCUGGUUCUCCCCGAAAGCUAUUUAGGUAGCGCCUCGUGAACUCAUCUUCGGGGGUAGAGCACUGUUUCGGCUAGGGGGUCAUCCCGACUUACCAAACCGAUGCAAACUCCGAAUACCGAAGAAUGUUAUCACGGGAGACACACGGCGGGUGCUAACGUCCGUCGUGAAGGGGGAAACAACCCAGACCGCCAGCUAAGGUCCCAAAGUCAUGGUUAAGUGGGAAACGAUGUGGGAAGGCAUAGACAGCCAGGAUGUUGGCUUAGAAGCAGCCAUCAUUUAAAGAAAGCGUAAUAGCUCACUGGUCGAGUCGGCCUGCGCGGAAGAUGUAACGGGGCUAAACCAUGCACCGAAGCUGCGGCAGCGACACUUAGGUGUUGUUGGGUAGGGGAGCGUUCUGUAAGCCGUUGAAGGUGACCUGUGAGGGUUGCUGGAGGUAUCAGAAGUGCGAAUGCUGACAUAAGUAACGAUAAUGCGGGUGAAAAACCCGCACGCCGGAAGACCAAGGGUUCCUGUCCAACGUUAAUCGGGGCAGGGUGAGUCGACCCCUAAGGCGAGGCUGAAAAGCGUAGUCGAUGGGAAACAGGUUAAUAUUCCUGUACUUGGUGUUACUGCGAAGGGGGGACGGAGAAGGCUAGGCUAGCCGGGCGACGGUUGUCCCGGUUUAAGCAUGUAGGCGGAGUGACUUGGUAAAUCCGGUUGCUUAUCAACGCUGAGGUGUGAUGACGAGCCACUACGGUGGUGAAGUAGUUGAUGCCAAGCUUCCAGGAAAAGCCUCUAAGCAUCAGGUAACAUUAAAUCGUACCCCAAACCGACACAGGUGGUCAGGUAGAGAAUACUCAGGCGCUUGAGAGAACUCGGGUGAAGGAACUAGGCAAAAUGGUGCCGUAACUUCGGGAGAAGGCACGCUGGCAUUAGGUAAAGGGACUUGCUCCCGGAGCUGAAGCCAGUCGCAGAUACCAGCUGGCUGCAACUGUUUAAUAAAAACACAGCACUGUGCAAACACGAAAGUGGACGUAUACGGUGUGACGCCUGCCCGGUGCUGGAAGGUUAAUUGAUGGGGUCAGCCGCAAGGCGAAGCUCUUGAUCGAAGCCCCAGUAAACGGCGGCCGUAACUAUAACGGUCCUAAGGUAGCGAAAUUCCUUGUCGGGUAAGUUCCGACCUGCACGAAUGGCGUAAUGAUGGCCAGGCUGUCUCCACCCGAGACUCAGUGAAAUUGAACUCGCUGUGAAGAUGCAGUGUACCCGCGGCAAGACGGAAAGACCCCGUGAACCUUUACUAUAGCUUGACACUGAACAUUGAGCCUUGAUGUGUAGGAUAGGUGGGAGGCAUUGAAGUGUGGACGCCAGUCUGCAUGGAGCCAACCUUGAAAUACCACCCUUUAAUGUUUGAUGUUCUAACUCGGCCCCAUAAUCUGGGGUGAGGACAGUGUCUGGUGGGUAGUUUGACUGGGGCGGUCUCCUCCCAAAGAGUAACGGAGGAGCACGAAGGUUAGCUAAUCACGGUCGGACAUCGUGAGGUUAGUGCAAAGGCAUAAGCUAGCUUGACUGCGAGAGUGACGGCUCGAGCAGGUACGAAAGUAGGUCUUAGUGAUCCGGUGGUUCUGAAUGGAAGGGCCAUCGCUCAACGGAUAAAAGGUACUCCGGGGAUAACAGGCUGAUACCGCCCAAGAGUUCAUAUCGACGGCGGUGUUUGGCACCUCGAUGUCGGCUCAUCACAUCCUGGGGCUGAAGUAGGUCCCAAGGGUAUGGCUGUUCGCCAUUUAAAGUGGUACGCGAGCUGGGUUUAGAACGUCGUGAGACAGUUCGGUCCCUAUCUGCCGUGGGCGUUGGAAGAUUGAGAGGGGCUGCUCCUAGUACGAGAGGACCGGAGUGGACGAAUCACUGGUGUUCGGGUUGUCAUGCCAAUGGCAUUGCCCGGUAGCUAAAUUCGGAAGAGAUAACCGCUGAAAGCAUCUAAGCGGGAAACUUGCCUCGAGAUGAGUCUUCCCUGGGGCUUUAAGCCCCCUGAAGGAACGUUAAAGACUAUGACGUUGAUAGGCUGGGUGUGUAAGUGCAGCGAUGCAUUGAGCUAACCAGUACUAAUGAUCCGUGAGGCUUAACCUU
rnacentral:rRNA from 1 species